UAAAUACCGAUUCUUCCCCCUCUCCUCUUUGGCGAUCAACAGCGCCGCCAGCCCCUUCCUCUUCCUUCCCUCGUUGCUUUUUUGUUUCUCUUCACUUGUUCUUGGAAUUUUAUUCGGUUCGGAAAUCUUUUCUUGGGAACCUGAUGAGCGUGCAAAUGUCGCCCCAGUCUUACGAUCCUUUCGUACUUUCGAUCGGGUUAUCAAUGGUAUCUGAUGCUCUGUUAAUUUUAUGGCUGAGCUUCUCGUAAGUGUGGCAGAGAUGGAAGGGAAGAACAGGCCUUGCGACACAGGAUGCUCAUUUUUUGAAGUGUGCUUCCUGUUACUAAAUCCUGUUUACAUCUCUGAACUUUUUUUAAAAAAUAAAUUUGGGGAUAAAAAUGAUUCUGUAUAGUUGAAUUCUAAUAGUUAUAUAUUUAAAUUUGAAUUUUGAACAGUUAUGGAGUGCUAAAUUAUUAUAUGAAUAUUUUGAAUUAAUUAAUUAUUAAAAAUGAACUCUGAUGAUGAUUUCCUAUAAUGGAUUUGUAUAUUUAGUUGAAAAUAUUUAUAUUAUUUUGUAAAAUGUUAAUGUUUUAAUUCAUGUAUGAAUUUUGAUAAAAUCUACCACAAUCCAGAAACUGCACUGAGCACUGAGCACUGAGAGGACUCUCCAAUCACAAGGAACAUAGGAAUGAACAUUAUAGGUACGCAGAACUAUUUGGUCAGAAAGGCACAAAUUCAGAUGAAUUUGAGACGUCACAUUAGAAAAAUGAUAUGCUCAAGAACAAAAUAUCAAACAUUCUUAUCUACUUGUUAGUUGCUGCAUUAGAUUCUUGACUUGCAUUGCUAGAUUCAGCUAUGGCUGUUUGCUUGACCCAUUGUAAAAUUGGAGCCCCCAUUUCAAUAUCUGGGCGGAUCCUUAAGAGCCAGAUUGCAGUGUUUGUAGUGCAAAUUGGCCCAACUAAGCCCCUCAGAUUAAGGCUGUAAAUAUAAACAAGUUUGAUGUGUUCUUUCAUAAAAUGCUUUUAUGUUUGUUUAAUAUUAAAAAAACUAUACAAAAUAAAUCAACUUCAUUUUGUUAUGUAUUUAUUAAUUGUACCAUUUUCAAUCUAGAUGACUUAAUUGCAAUACCUGAUAAGGGAACCUUCUCUUACCAUAUUUCAUUAUAAUCGUAGAUUGAGAAAGGCUACAGAUAUGCAUAUGUGUGUAGUAACUGCGACUUAGAUUUGAAGCUAUUGCCUGGGACUUAGUUUUAAAGCGCUUGGGGCUAUGGUUCAGUAGAAGAAUUACUGGGCAUUUAAGAUUUGAUCCUAGUUUUGAUGUUUUUUAAGGAAUUUUUCUUUCAUAUGGACAUCAACUAUGGGAGGAUGAGCUUUUGAGUCGACUUCAUUGAUCAUCCAAAAUUUAGUGUUACUUGGUUUAAUUUUUUUUAAUGGUACAUAUUGGCUCAUAUGCUAUUUUAUUCUUUACCAAGUGUAACUGGGGAAUGUAUAAUAUCUUAUUGCAAUCCACCUGUGCUUUAGAGAAAGUGCAAAAGUAUCUACAUAUUUGGCCAUGCAUGAAAGGGAAUGACAUAAUCCAUAA